AUGUUUAGUCAUGGACUUUGCAUGAACUUUCAACAGGUGCUGCAACUUGCUCGAAUUGAAGGAAAGGAUGUGAAGGACUGUGUCCACAAAUUCCUUGAUAGGCUCUUCAGUAAUCGUCUCAUGGCCCAUUUCAACAUGAAGGGAAAGGGGAAAAAAGACAAGAUGGCCCUGGAGACCGCACUCAUUUACAGAGCAAUCCGAGGUAUGCACAGGACAAAAUGUGCAAAAAGCCAUGUUUCAAUCCAUGUUGCACUUUGCUAUUUCUUUGUGCAAAUUGAUGUAUGCAUUUUGAAUUUCCUUGUGGGUGCUUUUCAAAUGGGGUGACAUCUUUCAAGUAAUGCUAUUAGGGUGGAUUCAUUGUUUAUGUAGGAUCAACAUGGCAGACAGCACGUAAUUACUUAAUUACACACACCACUUGCACAUAGCUAUUGGAGGUUGCGUUAGACUUUUUGAACUUUUUAAAAUAUAUUCCGUCAUAAUCUUACCCAUUCAUUUAUUUAUUUAUUAUUAUUUUAAAAUGAUGAUACAUUUAAUUACUUUUAUUUUCAGUUCAUAUUUUAUUUUCAAUUAUGAAUCACAUGACGAGUUGAUGAUUGAUUGAUUGAGUAGAUUAUGCAUUUAUUUCUUUAUUUAUGAGGAGAACAGAUGAACAAAGACUGUGCCACUUUUCAAGGUUAACACCACAUGGAGCAGAUAAUUGUUAAUUGUUUUUUUUUUUAAGUGUCAGCUGAAAACACUAAAAUACUACCUCUGUGCUUGAACAGCCAAAUGUGAACAAAGCAAUAUUACAAAAUGCAAGACCUUAACAUGAACAAAACACUUCAGAGAUGUUAAUUUUCUGACAGAUAAACUGCGCUCCUUUUCCUGUUAAUCAACAAGAAUGCUAAAUUGGAAUUAAUUUAAAUUACAAUUAACUGUAUUCGACCCAUUAAAAUAGCCUACUAUAUCUUUUCGGGGUUUAAUUUUACAUGUGCAAAAUAGCAGCACUGGAAGUGAAUAAUAUAAAUAGUCUAUUAAUAUUAAUGAUACAAUAUAAUUAGUGCCCAGGGCCAGGUUUCCCGAUAACGAUUGAUCUUAGCGCUUAAGAGCGUUUUCUACGAGUAAUUUUACGAUCGUUCGUUGUUGUUUUACGUGCGUUUCCCACAAAUGCACUUAACAAUUGCACAUGGCCGGGUUUCCUGAUAACGAUUGAUCUUAGCGCUUAAGAGCGUUUUCUACGAAUCAUUUUAGCUGUGCUUUAAGUGCUACUAAGGAGUCGCUAUCCGUUUGUCAAGUGCUGAAAUGUGACCUUGGAAUGGCUCAUAAUUGUAGUACACGAUCGUUUAUUGAAAUGUUUACCUAAUGCUGCGUUCCAGACAGACAACUUGGAUAUAAUAACUAGACUAUAAUACAAUACAAUAUUAUAUUAUAUUAGUGUAUAAUAUUAUACUUUACAUAAUAAUAUAAUAUAGGCUACUUUAUAUACAGUAUAGACAGAGAGAGAGAGAGAGAGAGGUUAUUUCCGGGUCCAAUACAUAGCUGUUUUUUGUGCACGUCAGCAAGUCAUUGACAGACAACCUCCAACCCCCUGGUCUUUGAAGCAUAUUUCCUACAUUACUUCUUUUAUUCAUUUUUGUUUUUGUUCAUUCAUUUAAUUUAGAUAUGUAUUUCUAUUUUUUCUGCCCUUUUUAAUUAUUUCAUUUAUAAAUUAAUAAAAAAGAAAACGAGUCAUAAUGUGUACA
ensembl:lncRNA